rnacentral:rRNA from 1 species
AGCGAACGCUGGCGGCAGGCUUAACACAUGCAAGUCGAGCGGGCACUUCGGUGUAAGCGGCAGACGGGUGAGUAACACGUGGGAACGUACCCUUGGGUUCGGAAUAACGCGGGGGAUCUAGCGCUAAUACCGGAUACGCUCCUUUGUGGAAAGGUUUACUGCGGGAGGGUCGGCCGGCGGCUGAUUGGCCAGUUGGUGGGGUAAUGGCCUACCAAGGCGACGGUCAGUAGCUGGUCUGAGAGGAUGAUCAGCCACACUGGGACUGAGACACGGCCCAGACUCCUACGGGAGGCAGCAGUGGGGAAUAUUGGAAAACGGGCGCAAUCAUGAUCCAGCCAUGCCGCGUGAGUGAUGAAGGCCUUAGGGUUGUAAAGCUCUUUUGUCCGGGACGAUAAUGACGGUACCGGAAGAAUAAGCCCCGGCUAACUUCGUG